AGCCAACCUAACCUUGGGACGGGGACAACCCCGAGAAAUUGGGGCUAAUCCCCGAUAGGCGUGGAGGCCUGGAAUGGUUCUACGCUAAAAGGCACGGCGACCAUGUUUGCCGUGUGCCCAAGGGUGGAGCUGCGGCCGAUCAGGCAGUUGGUGAGGUAAUGGCUCACCAAACCUUUGACCGGUACGGGCCAUGAAAGUGGUAGCCCGGAGAUGUGCACUGAGACAAGGGCACAGGCCCUACGGGGCGCAGCAGGCGCGAAACCUCCACAAUGCACUCACGUGCGAUGGGGUUACCUCGAGUGCAUCCUGAAGAAGGAUGCUUUUCCACUGUAUAACUAGCUGUGGGAAUAAAGGGGGGGCAAGACUGGUGUCAGCCGCCGCGGUAACACCAGCCCCCUGAGUGGUGGGGACGUUUAUUUGGCCUAAAGCGUCCGUAGCUGGCUGUAUCCGUUACCCGUCAAAUCCAGCGUCUCAAGCGUUGGGCCGCGGGUGAUACCAUACAGCUAGAGGGUGGGACAGGUGGGCGGUAUUUCUGGGGUAGGGGCGAAAUCCUUUGAUCCCAGGAGGACCACCAGUGGCGAAGGCUGCUCACUAGAACACGCCUGACGGUCAGGGACGAAAGCUGGGGUAGCGAACCGGAUUAGAUACCCGGGUAGUCCCAGCUGUAAACGAUGCUCGCUAGGUGUUGGGUCGGCCAUGCGCCGCCCCAGUGCCGCAGGGAAGCCGUUAAGCGAGCCGCCUGGGGAGUACGGCCGCAAGGCUGAAACUUAAAGGAAUUGGCGGGGGAGCACCACCAGGCGUGAAGCUUGCGGUUUAAUUGGAGUCAACGCCGGGAAUCUUACCGGGGUCGACAGC
rnacentral:rRNA from 1 species